GUUCCUUCGCCUCUGAGUAUUCGGACCCUCAGGGCAGACCGCGAGGCGGCCAACUCGCUGCUCCCGGGAGCUGCCCGCGUUCUGGGGUGAGCUGAGAGGCCCCUCCUGCGGCACUGCGUCAGUGCUAAUGACGUCACGGUUACGUGACGUCAGCAGUUCCUGCCCUAACCUGCGGCCUGGGCUCCCAGUGGGCCUGGGGGCCGCGGCCAGGUUGUUAGACUCGCGCCUGGAACUGCGCUGACUCUCCCGCAAGGAGGCAGCCCCCGUAGCUUCUAAACCAACUCCUCUAAGUGGUUCACAGGUUGGAAGCCUGACGUAGUUAGAGUCAAAUGUUGGCUACGGCUGUGAUCAUCUGAAGACUGGUUUGGAGCUGGAGAAUCCACUUACAAGAUGGCUCUCUCACAUGUCUGUGUCUUUAGGAUGGAAGAUUGCUCCAGAUCCGCCAGACUGCCUGCAAGUUGCUCCAGACUAGACUUCCAUUUGUGAGCACAGAGUAAAACUGAACUGGCAUCAGCAACAGUGAAAAAGCAACCUAAGGAAAUCCUCUAUCUGAUAAGGGGUUAAUAUCCAGAAUAUGUAAAGAACUCCUAAUUCAACAACAAUAAAAACAUAUAAUCUGAUUUUAAAAUGGGCAAAGAAAAUGGUAUUCAAAUGGCCGACAACCAUAUAUG